rnacentral:rRNA from 1 species
GAGACAAAUAAUGAUGGGUGUAAUAAUGGUUCUGGUCAUGGAGACACACAAAAUGCAAUAGAAAAUUCUUCAUUUCCUUCACAAGAUGGUGAGCUUCACAUGCAUGAGGACCCAGGUACUAACACUAACCCAUGUAGUUCCGCCACUCCUAUUAGCACCGCGGGGCAGAGUGAGAAUCAAUUAUCUACCCUUGCUCCUGAAAAUAAUCUACCGAUUGCUUUGCGAAAACCUACUAGAAAUCGAAACAUUCCAAGACACCUCAAAGAUUAUAAACAUGAUAUUGCCAAUUACAUUUCCUAUGAAUAUUGUAAUCCACCCUUCAAAAGCUUUAUUGCCUCUUUAGAUUCUAUGUCCAUACCAUCUAAUUGGAAAAUAGCUAUAGAGGAUCCAAAAUGGAAGGAAGCAAUGCUUGAUGAGAUGAAAGCCUUGGAGAAGAAUGAGACUUGGGAGCUCGUGGAUCUACCACCAGGUAAGCAACCUGUAGGUUGUAAGUGGGUUUUCACUAUUAAGCACACCCCCGAGGGAAAGGUGGAGAGGUAUAAAGCCCGUCUUGUGGCGAAGGGCUACACACAAACAUAUGGAAUCGACUAUGAAGAGACCUUUGCACCGGUG